ACAAGCAGCGGAGCGUGUGGUUUAAUUCGAUGCUACACGAAGAACCUUACCAAGGUUUGACAUGUAAGUGGUAGUGAUCUGAAAAGUGAACGACCCUUCGGGGAGCUUACACAGGUGCUGCAUGGCUGUCGUCAGCUCGUGUCGUGAGAUGUUCGGUUAAGUCCGCUAACGAGCGCAACCCUCACUGUGUGUUACAUGUGUCACACGGGACUGCCGGUUUUAAGCCGGAGGAAGGCGAGGAUGACGUCAAGUCAGCAUGGCCUUUAUAUCUUGGGCUACACACACGCUACAAUGGUCUGUACAAUAGGUUGCCAAGCCGCGAGGCGGAGCCAAUCCUUAAAGCAGGCCUCAGUUCAGAUUGCAGGCUGCAACCCGCCUGCAUGAAGAUGGAGUUGCUAGUAACCGCAGGUCAGCUAUACUGCGGUGAAUACGUUCCCGGGUCUU
rnacentral:rRNA from 1 species